rnacentral:rRNA from 1 species
CACAUGCAGUCGAGCGGCAGCACGGGAGCUUGCUCCUGGUGGCGAGCGGCGGACGGGUGAGUAAUGNCUAGGAAUCUGCCUGUUAGUGGGGGAUAACUCGGGGAAACUCGAGCUAAUACCGCAUACGUCCUACGGGAGAAAGUGGGNGACCUUCGGGCCUCACGCUAACAGAUGAGCCUAGGUCGGAUUAGCUAGUUGGUGGGGUAAAGGCCNNUACCAAGGCGACGAUCCGUAGCUGGUCUGAGAGGAUGAUCAGCCACACUGGAACUGAGACACGGUCCAGACUCCUACGGGAGGCAGCAGUUGGGAAUAUUGGACAAUGGGCGCAAGCUGAUCCAGCCAUGCCGCGUGUGUGCAAGAAGGUCUUCGGAUUGUAAAGCACNUUAAGUUGGGAGGAAGGGCGCUURGCUAAUACCCAASRGUUUUGACGUUACCAACAGAAUAAGCACCGGCUAACUUCGUGCCARCAGCCGCGGUAAUAC